UAAUCCAGUUCCUGUGUAGCCAAGUUUACAUUCCGUGUAUUAGUGAUAUCUUAUGAUGUUUCUUUUUCUGUGUGACUUAUUUCAGUUAGAAUCAUCAUACCUGAAUCCACUCAUUAUGCUGCUAAGGGCCUGAUGACACAGAUUUCAUUGCUGAGUGAUAUUGCAUUUUAGAAUCAUCAUACCUGAAUCCACUCAUUAUGCUGCUAAGGGCCUGAUGACACAGAUUUCAUUGCUGAGUGAUAUUGCAUUUUAGAAUCAUCAUACCUGAAUCCACUCAUUAUGCUGCUAAGGGCCUGAUGACACAGAUUUCAUUGCUGAGUGAUAUUGCAUUUUAGAAUCAUCAUACCUGAAUCCACUCAUUAUGCUGCUAAGGGCCUGAUGACACAGAUUUCAUUGCUGAGUGAUAUUGCAUUUUAGAAUCAUCAUACCUGAAUCCACUCAUUAUGCUGCUAAGGGCCUGAUGACACAGAUUUCAUUGCUGAGUGAUAUUGCAUUUUAGAAUCAUCAUACCUGAAUCCACUCAUUAUGCUGCUAAGGGCCUGAUGACAUAGAUUUCAUUGCUGAGUGAUAUUGCAUUUUAGAAUCAUCAUACCUGAAUCCACUCAUUGUGCUGCUAUGGGCC